AAUUAAAAAUGAUUAUUGAAGGUAAAUUAAAUUUUUUCAUUUUGUUUAAAUUUAUUUUGUUUCUUUUUCUUGUUCAUUUAUUUAUUU
rnacentral:ribozyme from 1 species